ensembl:rRNA 5S_rRNA 5S ribosomal RNA
CCUCCUGUCCAUAUCACCCCGAACACACCUGAUCUCAUCUGAUCUCAGACGCUAAGUCGGGUUGGGUCUGUUUUGUACUUGGAUGGGAACUUCAACAUAUGAAUUGAGGGGGUGG